AUUUAGAGUUUGAUCCUAGCUCAGGAUGAACGCUGGCGGCGUGGAUGAGGCAUGCAAGUCAAACGGACAUUACAAUUGCUCAAGAUUGCGAUUACAUCAAGAUCAAAAGCGCCGUAAUGUUAGUGGCAGACGAGGUAGUAACACGUAGGGACACACCGGAAAGUUUGGUAUAGCUUCGCGAAAGCGGAGGUAAUCCCAAAUGUGGUAGAAAUACCAAAGGAGCAAUCCGCUUUCUGAGUGACCUGCGAAGUAUCAGCUAGUUGGUAGGGUAAUGGCCUACCAAGGCGAUGACGCUUAGGGGACCUGAGAGGGUGACCCCCACCGAUGGAACUGAGACACGGUCCAUACACCUACGGGUGGCAGUAGCCGAGAAUAUUCGACAAUGGGCGAAAGCCUGAUCGAGCGACGCCGCGUGAUGGAUGAAGUCCUUAGGGACGUAAACAUCUUUUAUGGAGGAGAAAGUACCAACUUUAAAGUUGGUAUUGAUAGUACUCCAAGAAUAAGGGGUUGCUAAACUCGUGCCAGCAGCAGCGGUAAUACGAGUACCCCAAGCGUUAUCCGGAAUCAUUGGGCGUAAAGGGUGUGUAGGCGGUCUAGUUAGUCUCCUGUUAAAAUCUCGGGCUCAACCCGAGACUUGCUGGGGAAACGGCUAGACUUGAGGAUGCGAGAGGUGAAUGGAACU
rnacentral:rRNA from 1 species